GUUAAGAGCUUGCUUUUUAAGUAGUGGCGAACGGGUGAGUAACGCGUGAGUACCUGCCCUGGAGUGGGGGACAACAGUUGGAAACGACUGCUAAUACCGCAUAAGCCGGCAUCGGAAAAGAUUUAUCGCUUCAGGAUGGACUCGCGUCCAAUUAGCUAGUUGGUGAGGUAACGGCCUACCAAGGCAACGAUUGGUAGCCGGACUGAGAGGUUGAACGGCCACAUUGGGACUGAGACACGGCCCAGACUCCUACGGGAGGCAGCAGUGGGGGAUAUUGCACAAUGGGGGAAACCCUGAUGCAGCGACGCCGCGUGGAGGAAGAAGGUUUUCGGAUUGUAAACUCCUGUCGUUAGGGACGAUAAUGACGGUACCUAACAAGAAAGCACCGGCUAACUACGUGCCAGCAGCCGCGGUAAAACGUAGGGUGCAAGCGUUGUCCGGAAUUACUGGGUGUAAAGGGAGCGCAGGCGGACCGGCAAGUUGGAAGUGAAAACUAUGGGCUCAACCCAUAAAUUGCUUUCAAAACUGCUGGCCUUGAGUAGUGCAGAGGUAGGUGGAAUUCCCGGUGUAGCGGUGGAAUGCGUAGAUAUCGGGAGGAACACCAGUGGCGAAGGCGACCUACUGGGCACCAACUGACGCUGAGGCUCGAAAGCAUGGGUAGCAAACAGGAUUAGAUACCCUGGUAGUCCAUGCCGUANACGAUGAUUACUAGGUGUUGGAGGANUGACCUUCAGUGCCGCAGUUAACACAAUAAGUA
rnacentral:rRNA from 1 species